rnacentral:tRNA from 1 species
AAGGAUUUAAGUUAUUUAAACUAUUAACCUUCAAAGUUAAAAAUAGGAAAGCCUAAGCCUUA